rnacentral:rRNA from 1 species
ACUCCUACGGGAGGCAGCAGUGGGGAAUUUUGGACAAUGGGCGAAAGCCUGAUCCAGCAAUGCCGCGUGAGUGAAGAAGGCCUUCGGGUUGUAAAGCUCUUUUGUCAGGGAAGAAACGGUGAGAGCUAAUAUCUCUUGCUAAUGACGGUACCUGAAGAAUAAGCACCGGCUAACUACGUGCCAGCAGCCGCGGUAAUACGUAGGGUGCAAGCGUUAAUCGGAAUUACUGGGCGUAAAGCGUGCGCAGGCGGUUUUGUAAGUCUGAUGUGAAGUCCCCGGGCUCAACCUGGGAAUUGCAUUGGAGACUGCAAGGCUAGAAUCUGGCAGAGGGGGGUAGAAUUCCACGUGUAGCAGUGAAAUGCGUAGAUAUGUGGAGGAACACCGAUGGCGAAGGCAGCCCCCUGGGUCAAGAUUGACGCUCAUGCACGAAAGCGUGGGGAGCAAACAGGAUUAGAAACCCCGGUAGUCCCA